rnacentral:lncRNA from 1 species
UUUGUUGCCGUGAACUUCACUCAAGUUGCGGGGUUAUGACACAGGAUUGUAUUGAUUUGCUAAAACCCUAACCUAUCAGCCGCAGAUUAAACCCACAAGGGCCCCCAUCUCUCUCUGCCAUAGUCCUCCGUUAUCCAUCCUCUCUGCCAUAGCUUCCCUUCUUAUCCUUCUUCCAUUGCGAAGCAGUAGCCAUCUUUUCGAUUCCGCGGCCAACAGGUGUAAGAAGGUAGAUUUCUAAUCCCAUACCCUCUGCUCCGCCAUGCAUGGACCAACCUCAAAGUCUGUCUCCACGGUGAAAUUUGGGAUAUUGCGAAAUCAUUAGGUAUUAAUUUUUAACUGAAAUUUGUGGGCUGUUGUGAUUGAAGGGGAACAACUAAUUUGUCGAUCCUUGACUUUUUUUCUUUAAAAAAAAUUGGUUGGUUUUCCAUUGUAUUUGUUUAUCUGUGCUUUGUGAUAGUUCAUAGUUGGUAAUAUUAUGAUGCCGAAAGGGAACGCUGGUGGACAGACGCUCUCACAAACGGAAGCACUGUACCUUCAUGAAACGGGGCCAUUUUGUCGAGGAGGAAAAGACUUUAAAGCCAAGUGAGAAUAGCUUGUAGGGUGUAGCUGCAUCAAGCAAAGACGAUUGAGUAAUUUUAAAAGCCCAAAAUAGGGUAGGCAGUAAGCCCACGAGAAAAGAAGGAUGCAAAGACUUUAAAGCCAAGUGAGAAUAGCUUGUAGCUGCACCAAGCAAGGACGAUUGAGUAAUUUUAAAAGCCCAAAAUAGGGUAGGCAGUAAGCGCACUAGAAAGGAAGGAUAAUUAAGGGGAGAGCACUUUCUCAAUUACUAUUGUUCUUAGAAUGUAGCAACUGAAAACUCGUUUUUAUUAUAUUUUAUAUAUAUUAUGCAAACAAACAAAUAUUAGUAAAUUUUGGCUCUUCCACUUUUAUACACAGUUGGUGAGAAUGCUUCAUACCAAACAAAAUUUGAUGUCAUGAGGUGCACAUUCAUAGAUUAUUGGAUGAAGAACCAGAUUAUUGGGUGGCUUUCUGAAAUUUCCUUUGUGACUCAUGUGCCCUUGAGUUGGGUUUUUGUGAUCAAACUUGACUGGCCAAUGGU